CCUACGGGAGGCAGCAGUAGGGAAUAUUGCUCAAUGGGGGAAACCCUGAAGCAGCCACGCCGCGUGGAGGAUGAAGGUUUUCGGAUUUUAAACUCCUUUUGUUAGAGAAGAUAAUGACGGUAUCUAACGAAUAAGCACCGGCUAACUCCGUGCCAGCAGCCGCGGUAAUACGGAGGGUGCAAGCGUUACUCGGAUUCACUGGGCGUAAAGAGCGCGUAGGCGGGAUAGCAAGUCAGAUGUGAAAUCCUAUGGCUUAACCGUAGAACUGCAUGUGAAACUGUUAUUCUAGAGUAUGGGAGAGGUAGGUGGAAUGCUUGGUGUAGGGGUAAAAUCCGUAGAGAUCAAGAGGAAUACUGAUUGCGAAGGCGACCUGCUAGAACAUAACUGACGUUGAUGCGCGAAAGCGUGGGGAGCAAACAGGAUUAGAUACCCGGGUAGUC
rnacentral:rRNA from 1 species